GAGGACAGGACGUUAAAGACAGUGGAUGUAGGCUUGGACUUGUGUUCCUGUGAUCCUAAAACUCUGUUCUAUGCCUCUGAGUGGUACCCAGCAGCCUUUUAAAAAACUUUAAUAGACAGGUAAGGCAAUGCUUGAAUUUCUCUACUCUGGAAAAAUAGUUUUCUUCUUUCCUCUUUCCACCACCUUCUUGACCCUUGGAAGGCAAGAUACAUUUAAAUUUAAAAUUGAGAAUCAAGUUUCCCUCUCCUAGCCUAGAAGAUGAUCAUAUGCACCUAGAAUUACCUUUGAUUAAUAACAUUAAAAAAGGACAAGAAAAUAAAUGGUUGAAGCCACCAAAAUUCUGAUUUCUAUUCUGGCACCCGACAGUGAAACAUGUCAGAAGAUAUAUGCUCUGAGACUGGAUUGCUCUGAAGGACCAUGAGAUAACAGUGUGCAGGGGUUGCUAAGUAGACUUGGUCUGCGCUGGUUGAGACUGUAAUACCUUGCUACAUAAAGGAAGCAAACACAACCACAGGUUCCAUUGUUUACAUGGCGCUAUUUUGUUCAAUACCUUUCUCAGACUGAAACAAGUAAAAUCCAUGCUUGAUAGCCAUGGCUAUUCUCCUAUGUGAAAUUAUAUUAGCAGAGCAUUAGCUACCGAACAUUUAUUUCAUUUAGAAGCCCUGUGCUGUGGCUCCCUCUUUAAAUUAAUUUAAUUCAGAAGUCACAUCAAUAACUGUGCCAGCAUCAAAACACCUAUGGGCAGAGACUCAAACAGCUAUUCCAUCAUGUCAGAGUUUCUUCUCUCUGGAAACUGUAUUUGCUAAUUAGCUGCAACAUUUCUGACAAUGGAUCAGAGUUCACGAAGGUCUUUUGCAAGUGCCUGUUUUCUCAGAGUUAGUGUAUUUUCAAGGCUUAAAAGUGACUCCUUUAGCUGAUUGUCCAUCUUGCACUAGCUAUAUUUUGCCAGACAUGUGAUAUGGUAAAAAUUGCUAUCGAAGAGAUGAUGGUGAUGUUUAGGUCAGUAUUUCAUCUUGGAGACAUCUGCUGUCAAUUAAGGAAGUUAGCACAUGCCCUAGGACCAAUUCUCAGUUGGAAUACAUAGCAAAGUUGUAUACUUGCCUGUAAUUUGAUUACUGCAACUGAAGCUAUGGAUUUCAGCAAGAGUAAGCUGAUUUGCACUAGCAUAGAACUGGUCUUCUAUUUUCUAAAAUAUUUACUAAGAAUCCUGUGUACUGUAGGAUUCACUAGGGUGCCUGGUACUUCUUGGUCUUACUGUAGGUCAUGUGAGCACUCCCAUCAACUUCUGUACUGAAUAUAUUCUAAAAGGGGCACUGUCAUGCUCAGUUUGGCCAAACCUAACAUUUUAGGGUACAUCUCUCCUUCCCCAGUGGAACACCAUCUUUUACUAGCACCCUUUCCAUCAGCUCUCAAAGGGACAUGGGUGCUAUGACACUCCAAUGCAUUUUGAAAACUUGCCCUUAGGUAGUAAGAUUUCUUGACCUCCAGACAGAAGUUUUUAAACCACCUAAAUGUUAAAAGAGUUGCAUGUCCAUCUCAAAACAUGGUUACCCUUAAAGGUAAUUUUAAAACAACUGGUCCUCAAAAGCUGUCUGGUUUUGCUUUGUGUUAACAAUCUAACCAAUAGAUAUGGAUCUUUCUUCUCACUGAAGCUCUUCCUUCUAGUAUUUAAGUUGUAUUUGCAUUAAUGACACCUCCUACUUAUUAACCUUAAUAGUUCUCACUAAUCACUACUUGCAAACAUUGUUGCAGUCAGGCACUUAAAAAUGUAAAAUUUCAUUCAAAUUGUAUACUAUCUCCUUCUCUGAAAUGCCAAAAUCACUACUCAAAGAGACUUCCGAUCACUCUUAACACUUUUCAACAUGCUGCCUUUAACCAAGGUAGGUAGAAAUUCUUUUUGAUGUAUUAAACACUCCCCUCAGGAUUACUCCAGUAAGACUGAAGGCCUGGGCUUGCGAUUAAAUGGAGCUCCUAGCCAAUGAGCAGACAGUGAGGGUGGAGGAUCCCAGUGAGGUCUCUUAGGGUAAUUAGAGCCCAGUGGUGUACUCUGGACUCUGACAAAAUGUGCAAGAAUACAGAUUUUAAUUACAGCAUGACCAAUCACACAGUACGAACAGCAAAUUCAAAUGAGUCUUAGCAAUUAUUUCCAUAGGCUGAAAUAUAGCUGCAGAAAAUACCUGCUUAAUAAUUUAGAAACAUGGAAAAAAUAAAUUUUAUUUGCAAACAGUGCAAUACAAAAGUUUAAAGGGGUUAAAUUAAUAAAUUAUUAAUUGCAAUUAGCUCAUCCAUUAGUGUUAUGGUAGCAUCUAAAUGCAACGACUAGCAUCAGGACUCUGUGUUGGUCCCAAAAGGGACUUUGCAAAGGACAAACACAGUCCUAUAGCGACUAGAAGAGAGGACUUCCUCCAAUUGCAUGUCCCACCACCAGUCUACCAAGGUCAAACUACUCUUCUCCUUAUUUGGCCCAGUAAAUCUUUAUUUUCUACAAGUGAGAACAUUCCUUCAGUAAAAGAGUGACUGUGAAUGUUACUUAGCAAGACCCUGCAACCCUGCAUCAGAGUGCGCAUAGUCUUCUCUUUGCUCUUUUUAUUUUAUUAAAGCCCUCAAUCUACAAGCAUGGCUUUAAAUAAUUCUCCAGAGCUUUUUCUGCACAAUAUUCCCACCACCAUCCUAACCCUUCUAUAUCACAAAAAAGUCUUAUAAUUGUCUAUUAGAUUCUUGCUAUCCUCUGGCACAGCUGAAGCCUGGCAAUGACUUGGGCCACAUUGCUGAGAACUCAUAGGUGACACCACAGAUACAUGUGUGAAGAUAUUAUAACAAAUUACUUCUACAUUACUAAAAUUAAGUAUUCAGUUUGAUGAGAAAGCUUAAAAAUACAAGCAGUGAGUCUAUCUAGAAGAGGAUAGACAGAAGGAAAAGAUAAAAGCAAGAAUGAUUAUAGAAGAAAUUUUAAUUGAACACUUCCAAGGUGUCCUCUGCUGGAGAUUCAUUUGAGGUCCUUGAGGCAUCCACAGUUGGAUCAGACAAGGCUUUUGGAAUUGCUUUUUAAGAAUACCAGUCAUCAAAAUAACCUUCUUUAGUUUUAUGAUAUUUGACUCAUGGUGCUGAACCCAAAUAGCACUUUCACAGAGAGGAACCUAGCAGUUUUACUCUUCAGCACUACAUAAGAGGAUGAUACGUAAGCCCGCAUAAGAGGAUGAGCAGUCCGGACCUUCAUGUCAUUCUAGCUGUGCACCUCAACAAGUUCUUUUGUUUCGGGAAAAUCCUUACAACCUUUAGCUGUUAGGAUCUCACAUGAUCACCUUUCCAAGCAUCUUCCAUCCCCUCCAUCUGCUGUGUAAAACAGCUUUAAUUCUGAAGAACGACGUAGAGAGUGAUGAUGGAUCUCCCUUCUGCUACUUGCCAUUGCUAGCACAGAAAGACAGAAUAACUCACUUGUGGCUAUUCAUCUUGGCAGUUGUCCCUUGUUUCUGCUCACUCAUGGAGAUAAAUGCUGCCAUGGCAGAACACAUAGCCUUAAGGCAACUCUUCUGUACAAUAUGCAAUGAUAUCAUUGCAUUUCAUUUUAUAACAUUUGUUUUAAAAGCUCCUCACCUUUAGCUGGUGCCUCUUUUAUUAUACAUUCUCAUUUUGCUAUGUGCUUUUUCUUCUACGUAUUGUGUCCUCUCUCUGGCAGCAAUUUAUGCAGAUCUUGUCAGUUCAAUCUUCAUGCAGAGUAAUGAUAGCACAAGGACAAAGAGUUGGAUCAUGUUGCUUUUGUUUUCUUCUCCAUAAAUGAAGCACAAAUCUCUGAGGCGCUGUUCCUGGGUCUUGAUAUCCUUCUUAGACCAAAGCUUAGGAUACUGAGUUUGAUAGUUGGAAGCAAUUUAGAAAGUCAGUAUGGUCUCAGAGGAAUCUCAGCUAGAACUCUGGAGGCCAUGAGGAAACUGAAAGCCUGUAAUUCAACAGCAUACAGGGAGAAAAGGUCACCCUCGCUGCCUUCCCUAAAAACUGCUGCAGAAAGAAGGUGGGAGGACAUGACUAGAUUUCUUAAGACACAAAACCUCUCCUUUCAGUGGAGUCAGGAGGAUGUCUCCAGCUAGCAUACUAUGCUAACACCUAACACUGGGCUGAGCUACAGCUGCAGACUUCUUAUAUCACCUGUACAGCACACACACACAAACACAUGAGUAAGUAGUAGGAAGUCAUGUUGCAGUAUUGUAGCAACAAUGUGGGAAAGGCCAGUGAGAGACCUUAUAGGAAGGGAAAGUGACUCAUACUGGCACUUUUAUGCCACAUACUCAAAAGUACUAAGAUGUGUGCAUGCAUACAAUCUGGUCAGCAUUCAGACACUAACAGGCUUUUAUCCCAUGGUCAUCAUUCUUGUGAUGGCACAGGAAUGAGGGAUACUGGUGACCCAAUCCACUGUAACAUAUUGGGGUGAUGACCACAUGUUGGUUUUUGACAUGCUUUGUUUUUUUAACCCUGAAGAAACUACCAGCCAUCCCAUUAUUAAUCUACCUCAUCUUUCAGGCACAUAUAAACCAGUCAAGAAAAUUUGCAUAGUAUUUCUCAAGGAAGCAUUUGUCCUCUUAUAACCACUUCUCCCAGAUGCACCAUACUUCAGUGAGUAAUAUCUCAACAUGUCAGAGCUUAUUUUUCUGUGCUGAAAACUAAGCAGGUUAGAACAUUCCUUUUGGAGCCCCCCAAAUCAUCCCAACACUCAAGCACUUUCCUGAAGGUCAACAGGAAAGUGACUCAUAGUUCAAGAUUCAUAGUUUAGAAUCAGCUUAUUAAAACCAUUAGUUGAAUUCUGUCCCAUGCAGGAUUAUGUUUCGCACCUUUCCACAUGCUGCUGUCUUGUGUAAUGAAGUUGUUUCUAACCUGACAAUUCAGGUAUUAGAAUCAUAGAAUAGUAAGGGUUGGAAAGGACCUUAAGAUCAUCUAGUUCCAACCCCCCUGCCAUGGGCAGGGACACCUUGCCCUAAACCACGUGGUCCAAGGCUCUGUCCAACCUGGCCUUGAACACCACCAGGGAUGGAGCACCCACAACCUCCCUGGGCAACCCAUUCCAGUGCUUCACCACCCUCACUGUAAAGAACUUCUUCCUUAUAUCUGAUCUAAACUUCCCCUGUUUAAGUUUGAACCCAUUACCCCUUGUCCUACCACUACCGUCCCUAAGGAAGAGUCCUUCCCCAGCA
rnacentral:lncRNA from 1 species